rnacentral:rRNA from 1 species
UACAUGUGGGGCAAGCGUUGUUCGGAUUACUGGGCAUAAAGGGUGCGUAGGUGGCUUGUUAAGUCAGGGGUGAAAGUUUUCGGCCCAACCGGAAAAUGGCCUUUGAUACUGUCGGGCUCGAGUCCGGAAGAGGAGUGUGGAAUUCCUGGUGUAGCGGUGAAAUGCGCAGAUAUCAGGAGGAACACCAAUGGCGAAGGCAGCACUCUGGGACGUGACUGACGCUGAGACGCGAAAGCGUGGGAGCAAACAGG